GUAUUCUCUAUCGGAGAAAGAUGAAGAGGAAGGCGUAGAGAGUCUGAUCGUGCUUGAUUGGCGAGUUUCCGACCCGUAAUUUGACAUUUUCACUUCGGCCGAAAUCGGCCAUCCAGCACACCGAGAGGAGGAUUGGGAGGAGGUUAGCGAAGCUUCGGAAGAGAAGAGCGUCGUCAUACUUCCGGUCGCUGUGUUGUUGGCAACGGAACCGGAUGUCUGCAAGAAUGCACCGUCGCGCUAGUUAGUAGAACGGUGUAGGUGAAUACAAGAUGUCUCUACGUACAGAAGGUCAUUUCAGGUCAUUGCGCACGGUUUGGUCAGGGCGUGGUCGCUGUCGAACAGAAGCUCGAAGCUGUGCGCCGUACAAGCAGAGGACGUGCUUUGUUGAGAGUAAUAGUUUGUAGAUAGUGUAGAUAGAUGUGUACAGUUGGUUAUUUCUACUUUGUAAGUAGUUUUACGAUAGUUUGUGUAGCUUACUACCGUUUCUUUCGUAACCUGAUUUUGCACUGUCCCGAGGUAAGCCGGGGUAAGCAAUGUUUAUAGCCGUGUACAGUUGAGUUUGUUGCAUCUCCUAAUUCGUUUUUGUGCCUGUAUGGCUUCAUUCUAGGUUCUGCUCUAGACCCACAAUGUUGAAGGGGCGUUUCCUAGUGCCUAUGGCAGUAGGCAUUGAUAUCAAACUUUUUGUGCUGGAUGUGUGCGUGUACACAAAUCUC